UGUUAUUCUUGGCUAUACAAAUGAGUUGUCCAAAUCUUUGCAAAAGAGAGAUCAAGAUAUUGUUAAUGCAAUGGCACUUGUUAGUUUGGCAAAGAGUAGAAUGCAACACUUGAGGUCUCAUGGUUGGGAAGAAUUUCUUGCAAAGCUAACCUUAUUUUGCAACAAACAUGACAUUCAAGUUCCUUUGUGGGAGGAUACUUAUGAGCAUUAUGGAAGAUCACGUCGGUAUUAUGAAGUACAAACAAAUGAUGAUCGUUAUAGAAGAGAGGUAUAUCUUGGUGUCAUUGAUCAAACCAUUCAAGAGCUUGACAAUCGGUUUGAUGAGGUUAAUACGGAGUUGCUUAUUUGCAUGUCGGCUUUGAAUCCAAUCAACUCAUUUGCUUCUUAUGAUGCACUCAAGGUAAUGAGACUUGCUGAAUUCUAUCCCAUGGACAUAUCAAGCAUAGAUUUGAUAAGGCUAGAAUUUCAACUUACUACUUUCAUUGAUGAUAUGAGACAAGAUGAUAGGUUUAGAAAUGCAAGUAAUAUUGGUGAGCUCUCUAUUAUGCUUGUUGCAACAAAGAAGCAUGUUCUUUAUGAUUUGGUCUACUUACUCAUCAAAUUGAUAUUGAUUUUACCGGUGGCGACG
rnacentral:lncRNA from 1 species